GUGGGGAAUUUUGGACAAUGGGCGCAAGCCUGAUCCAGCAAUGCCGCGUGCAGGAAGAAGGCCUUCGGGUUGUAAACUGCUUUUGUACGGAACGAAACGGUCCGGGUUAAUACCCUGGGCUAAUGACGGUACCGUAAGAAUAAGCACCGGCUAACUACGUGCCAGCAGCCGCGGUAAUACGUAGGGUGCAAGCGUUAAUCGGAAUUACUGGGCGUAAAGCGUGCGCAGGCGGUUUUGUAAGACAGGCGUGAAAUCCCCGGGCUCAACCUGGGAAUUGCGCUUGUGACUGCAAGGCUGGAGUGCGGCAGAGGGGGAUGGAAUUCCACGUGUAGCAGUGAAAUGCGUAGAUAUGCGGAGGAACACCGAUGGCGAAGGCAAUCCCCUGGGCCUGCACUGACGCUCAUGCACGAAAGCGUGGGGAGCAAACAGGAUUAGAAACCCUAGUAGUCC
rnacentral:rRNA from 1 species